AUGAAUAAUGAUGGUUCAGUCACUUCACUUCAGUGCUGGAUGCUGACUCGGUCAGUGUCCAAUGUGUUUGGUUGGGAAAUAAACUGGCGUCUGGAGUGAAUGAAUGAUGUCUAAAUGAUUCUGAACGAUUUUCGAGUCAAGAACUACAAAUACUCGUGUACUCACUUCGCCGUUAACCGUUUCCGCAGCAAGCAGAAAACCAUCUGGGUCCCCCACUCCACAACUCUCGAUCUGGAUAAAGGGGCAUGGAUUCCCGCUGACCGGAUGGUUGUAUACGUGUAUGGACGUUUGUGAAUUUCGCGUAAUGAUGAUACAGAUCCAAAUAUUAAUAAGAACCUGGUCACUGCUAGGUAGUUGUCAAUUUAAACAUUAGCUUCAACAAGGCUAACGUCUCUACAAUGCUUCGAGCUUCAGGUGGGGUUGUAACAUCUACAGACCAUCGAUCUCUAACAGGGUCAAAACUGUAAUUUCACAUACCAAGGUACCAACCAUUGUUUAGCUUGGAAGCUUUAGUGCAAAAGUAUAGUCUAUAUCCUGCUAUAUACUUGCUUAACUACUUUGCCUUCCAUGGGAUUCUUUCUAAAAUUUCUGUAUUUGCUACUUUUUUUAACAUAAAGGUGUACGUAUUUACCGACA